GAUUAACGCUUUCUAGCGGUUGUUAUUGCUGCUCGCUAUAAGUACCACUAGUUACCUAGUACCAUAGUUAAAAUAAUUCGACGUUCAUAUUGUUUUAUAUUUGUGACUUGCAGUCUGAACGUCAAAACUUUAAAGGACCAAAAUAAUGAAGAAUGAAUCACAGUACAUAGUCCUGUAAAGUUAUUGGUUUUCUCAUUUGCGCAUACUGCAUGCAUACACGGUAAACGUUAAUCGUCUACAGUACAUACAUAGGUUUAAAUCACCUGUAAAUUCGUAGUUUUGUGAUAUUAUUUGAUAAUUUUUACAUAAAUCAAUAAGGAUUUAAGUCCCCAUUUGAUACAUGUAAUUUUUAUUAAUAUAUAGGCAUAGUACUAGAGCAGAUUUACGCAAUCGAAUACCGCCGGAAGUAGAACAUUUAUGUUAACACCGGUUUCGUAUUUUCACGUGAAAACGGCCAAAAACUGAGAGGUUAUCACCAAAUUAUAAGUUUACGGGUACCAUGAGGAUUUUUCAUGCAUUUAAACGAAAGAAGUACAAGCGAACAGAUGACACAUUAAAGUGGCUGCAGAAGCUUGAAAAGUUAGAUAGAGCAGGGGCAGUCAAAACAGUGGGAUACUACAUCUAUGUAAUUUCUUUUUAAAGGGUGUCCAACAUGUCUAGUCAGGUUGACAGAAGUGAAAGAUGGUCUGAUGGUACAAUGAUGUACAAAUGAUACUCUUUAACAAGUUUAACAUGUCAAGGUGUAAAAUGUUCUGUGGAAUCAUAUGAUGAGAAUGCCAGUGUUGACCUGUAUGACUUAAUUAAACACAGAUAUUGAUACCUUCAGAUAUAUACCUGUGAAAUCUUCAGUGUCAUCGUUCAGCUAUUGUUCAAGAUCAGUGUCUGCAGCUUGCACAGUUUAGUAUAGAGGAGCCUUCUGAAUCAACUUUGUUACAUAUUUGCUGUUAUUGUAGGACACACAUGUAGAGAGCAGCAAGUCCUGUCCAGCGGUGCAUGUAAAUGUGAUUCAGAAACUUUGAAAAUAUGUAAACAUUAUACUGUUAUAAUGUUCAAAAUACUGUGUCUUGUAGUGUAUCAGUACUGUUUUGUCUCAGUUUAUAGCACAGUAUGUUCACAAAUCAAACGUAAGACCAUAGUGAUCAUUAUUAUUAAAAUCAUUAAUGAUUUGUUUGGUGACAAAAUUUAAUUUCAUGCAAUACCACAGUAAAACGUUUGAUAAUUUUUGCUUUUAAAGUUGUAAGUUUCAGGUUGGCAUAAAUUGUUUUUUUUUCUUUCAUAAAUCUAAAAAGUGAUUGGUCAUUAUAACUGCAAUAUCAUUUUAGUAUGACAAAGUUUAUAUUGAACUAAAACACUAAUGUAAAUUUUUGAACUAAUCAAUGCAUUUUCUUCAGUCUUAAAACAUUUGUUUAUCGUAUGUGUCAUGGCCCAUAACUCCUCCAUAUUACUUGUGUUUUGUCCUUUUUCAUUUCACUGAAGAAUAGGUAGAGGUAUUGCACAUCCAUUUUUUAGCAUCCUGAUUUUGUAAAGUGUUGUAUGUAAGGUUUUAUCUCGGAAUUUUGUCUCAUCUAAAGGUGGAGAGAGGUAUUAAUUAUGCCUUCUCGUCUAUCCGCAUUAAGCCUGUCUGGCUUUUAGAGGACAAGCUGCUGGCCAGAUUUUGACGAAACUUCACAGGACUGAUCAGUACCAAGCAUAGUGUUGUGCAUAUCGCUUGCAUGUUUCGUUUUGAUGCACUAAAUUGCAGCCAGAGCUAAAAAUAGAAAAAUCUUGUCGGCUUUUACAGGUUAAAACUACUUAAAAGAUUUUGAUGAAACUUCACAGGAGUGAUCAGUACCAAGUAUAUUUUUGCAUAUCACCGACACUUUCCAUUUUGCUGCACAAAAUAGCCGCCACAGCUAAAGGUAUACAUAGGUGGGAGACAUGUUUUGUCAUAAAAAUACCUAAAGCACCUUCCACUUUGUUAAUGAAAAAUGUAACAAACGUCUUACAAUUGCAAACUGUAAUAAUUUGACAUUAAAUGCACUAGUUCUAUAACUGCAUUUGGCUUUUUCAUAAUUAUUGCCCUUUUCUUACCAUAGCAAUAUUUUGUGUAACAUGUUACUUCAUUAAGCAUCAUAAGAUCAGAAAGUUCUAUGACUCAGAAAUGUUGGCCCUUUCGUACUUGUCAUGAGUAUGUUUUCAGUAUUUUAAAUUGUCAUUACUUUUUGUUGUGCCAGUUUACGGAAAUGAAGAUUUAGUUGUCCAAAUGUUGUGCCUGUCCUGGUUUGUUUGUCUGGACAAUAUACUAUUGAUUAGUCUUCACGAAACUUUGCAGGUUAAUUUCCUUAAGUUCCCUGUCAACUUUGAUAGUGGCAUGGUUACUUUAGAAACACUAAAGUGAUGUCACCACUGUACUAGUCAAACGUUUUGUAUUUCAGAUUUUAUAUCACAUUACAGGCUACAGGUCUUCAGCAGCCUCCAUAAAACUUUCAUAAAAGUUUCCAAAAAUGUUGUAUUUUGAUUUGAACUGGCAUUAUUCAAACAGUAAGAAGUAGUACUAUAAGGCAACAUUUGACCUCUUUUCCAGUAAUUUUUGAUUUUCUCUGUUACUAUGAAGUUGCCUUUUCUUAGAAAUUGGUUGGCUUAUUUUUGUAGCUGUGUUCUUUAUCUCAUGAAAAUUUCCAUUUUUUGUAUAAUUCAUAUUUUUUACUGUCAACAAAGUGCAAUUAUACCAUAUACUUAUCACUUUCAUUAACAUACCUGUACUAUUUUCAUAAAACAUUAUAUAAAUCAUUAUAUUCCAUAUAAACAGAAUUAAAUAAAUAUUUAAGAACA